CCUGUUGGGAUGCGAGACCUCCACCUUGGUUGUCUAGAUGUCUCCACCGGACGCCGGCGUCUUGACUCGGAUUUGCACAUGCUGAUCGAUUUUCUCCCCUUCUCAUAAAGCUGAUUACACCAUGCAGGAAAGGCACAAAAUGCAGAGAAAUUUAUGUAUUUGGUUCAGGAGACAACAUAUAGAAUGUUCUUGCCAGGCGUAAUCUUUUACUUUGUAUUAUUUUUUUGCUCACACUGUUAUGUACCUAAUGUUUCGUUGAGUAAUUCUACUCACUUCUAUUGUUUUUAAUAUAUAGUUUACUGCUUAAGGAACUUUUUCAGUCCAAUCGGAUAUUUUUCUCGAAUAAUUUGUACAUGACUC